rnacentral:rRNA from 1 species
UACGAACUGUGCGAACGUUAUUCGGAAUCACUGGGCUUACAGGGUGCGUAGGCGGCCUGUUAAGUAGGGUGUGAAAGCCCCCGGCUCAACCGGGGAAUGGCGCCCUAAACUGGCGGGCUGGAGUGAGAUAGGGGUGUGUGGAACUUCCGGUGGAGCGGUGAAAUGUGUUGAUAUCGGAAGGAACGCCGGUGGCGAAAGCGACACACUGGAUCUUGUCUGACGCUGAGGCACGAAAGCCAGGGGAGCGAACGGG